rnacentral:rRNA from 1 species
CUGGCUCAGGAUGAACGCUGGCGGCGUGCCUAAUACAUGCAAGUCGAACGAGAGUGCUUGCACUCUAGUGGCGAACGGGUGAGUAACACGUAGGUAACCUGCCUUACAGUUUGGGAUACCCUGGCGAAAGCUAGGCUAAUACCGAAUAAUUGGAUUGGAGGCAUCUCCGAUCUCUAAAAGGGGCCUUUAAAGCCUCGCUGAAUGAUGGACCUGCGGCGCAUUAGCUAGUUGGUGAGAUAACAGCCCACCAAGGCGAGGAUGCGUAGCCGACCUGAGAGGGUGAACGGCCACACUGGAACUGAGACACGGUCCAGACUCCUACGGGAGGCAGCAGUAGGGAGUUUUCGGCAAUGGGGGCAACCCUGACCGAGCAACGCCGCGUGAAUGAUGAAGGUCCUUCGGAUUGUAAAGUUCUGUUAUAAGGGAAAAAUGAUAUGGUGAGGAAAUGCUCCAUAUUUGAUGGUACCUUAUUAGAAAGCCACGGCUAACUACGUGCCAGCAGCAGC